rnacentral:lncRNA from 1 species
AUGUCUGCAGCAGACUCCCGGGAGGGAAGCAAGACGCUGGUUGUGUCCGGUGUGCCCGACGUGCCCGACGUGCUGUCCGUCAGCAGGAUGCGAGACAAGCUGACUAUUCAUUUCCAGAGCUGCAGACGGAGUCACGGAGGAGACGUGGCGGUCGUCGAAUAUCCCACCAAAAUGGACGGGGUCGCUUUUGUCACUUUUGACAAAGCUGAAGAUGCAGAGAGGGCGGUGCGAAAGGAGCAACAGAUCAUGAUGGACAGCGAGUUUCCUGAAGACUACCUGCUCACUGUGUUCCCCUUCACUCGUGAUGUGUUUUUAUACGUCCCCAGCGCUUUGGUCAAUCUCUCCGUAUUCGGCAGAGAUCAGUCGUCGCUGAUUCAGAGUCUGCAGUCAGCUCACAGGUCGCUACGUUUCCGGCCUGCCCUCCAUCAGAUGACAGCCACCAUUGAAGGUCCUUUCACUGCCGUCCAGGCUCUGAGACAGGACCUCAUCCGCAUGGCCGACCAGCUUAAAUCCCCGGCCUCAGCCCAAACAGCUGCUGUCAAACUGAGAGAAACUCCUCCUAAUCCGAGGCUAAUAUCUCCUCACGAGAAUGUCGGCUCUGUAAGCCGCGGCGGUGCUAAAGCUAAGCUGAGACCAGCGAGCUCUUCCUUAUCACCGCCGCCGCAGACCACAGGUGAGGCGUCUGAAGUCCAAAGCCUGCUCUCAAAUGCAAAAACUCAUUCCUUGAGGCGGAAAGUUUCCCGUAAAGCUGUGGGGACACACGGUGAUGAAGAGGAGGAUCAGAGAGAUCGCUCCCGGCUCGACAUGCCCACAGAAUACAGGACAGAGCGAGCAGAGGCCAACCCAAGACAAGCGCUCAAUGCAGGGGUUAGAUCUUCCUUAUCAGGCCUGGACCUGCUCUUGGGAGAGGAAAUAUCAGCAAAACAGCCAGGAGUGGACGACAUUUCACAAACACACAGCAGACUGGACAGGAUUUCAGCAACCAAGAUCGGAGGAGAGAAUCGGACGGGCUACAGCGGUGCUGACUAUCUGAAGGAAUCAGGUCAGAGCAGCUCUGCUAAGAUCCUCCAGUCCGGACUCAAACAUGUCCCAACGUCCGAUAUCGAGGAUACAGCAGAUCCGUCUGCAAUCUGUCCCGAGGAUCAGGAGGAUACGUGCAUCUGGGUCGAAACUGACAUAUUCAGGUACAUUGAAAAGUUUGACAAGAAGGAGUUGGACCGACGCUUGAGAGGUCUUGAUGUAACUGUUAAACGCGAAGGUUCUGACCUCACACAGAUAUUGUUGACCGAGAAACAAACCUCAAAGACGACCCCGAUGAUCCAGCAGGCGUUGAAAAACCUCAAGAGUUUGGUGGAGUUCUGGCACUCGAUGUUAGUAGUUCAUCAGAUCGACUAUAACGAGGAGGACAAACAGAAACUGAUUCAAAUCUGCGAUGAUGAGAAUAUCGGGUACUCUAACAUUCUAUACGUGUUGGAGGAUUCUUGCGUAAAAGUCAUCAGCUACUCAACAUCUAGUCACAUGUUCUGUAAGAGUGUGAAGGAUAGUCUUGCUAAACUCAAAGAUGCUCGGAGAAUGUAAUGGAUGCAGCAAAAAUACAUGGGCGUAGUUUUAUCAAUGACCACACGGUGGUGCUGUUGUGCUGCAUGUUGCAUUCACACAACCUGCUCCUGUAGUUGUCUGAAUGUCGACCUUAAGUUUAGGUACAUUACAUUGGUAUUUUCCUGCAUAAUAAUUAGAACUGUAUACAUUAAUGGUACUGUGUGUAUAUAACAUAUCUGCCUCCAUUACUCAGAAAACUCACUUUAAUGCUCUUAUUAAAUGAAAGAAUCCAGUGCUUUUGCUUCCCUCCGGGUUAAUAAUUAGGCUUUUAGCAAGUCUUAAUCCAAACCAUGUUUUCACAGCAGUAGGGAUAAAUCUUAAUUAACCUCCUCACAUUUUAAUCACAAAAGAUUGGCUUCUAAUUACAUAAAAAAUGACAACCUGUCUCACAUAAUCACAUCUUCCUAUUCUCUUGUCAACAAAUUAUAUAAUUAUGUUAUCCUUGUAUUGGUAAUAAAUUAUUUUCUUUGAGGCGCAGAGAAAAUAAAAGUGUUUCUGUUCAAAGCGAGACACUACCUCAGUUUUCCUGCACUGGUUAAUUUUAAGAUUUUGGGCUAAUACACAUUUAGGUGUUUAUUUUUCUAACUUUGUCUAUUUGUAUCUGUGAAUUUCCCCUUACACACCAAACCUUCCCGUUUCAUUCCUGUCUGUGUUCUGAAGGUUUUCACUGAGAGCUUUGUUCUGAUAUCAUUCACAGCCUGAUUUAUAGAUUAAUGAUUUAUUUUUUAUUUUUUUAUGGAUGUUGACAGUAUUUUCUGAUUUGUGGAGUGAAACAAAUAAAUGUAAAGUUGUUAAAAAUGUAAAUUUCCACCAUUGAGGCUUCUUGACUGCAUGUUUUGUGCUUGGCUGUGACUGUGAUGAGUGGAGUACCAACAUUGGCCAGUAGGGGGCGGUAUGACACUUUCUCCCAUUCGGUGAACCGUUUAAAAAUAGAGAUACUGUCGCUGCCACCGUCCUGCUCUGUGAAGCUAUUAUGGAGGCUGGGUUUGGCACGCAGGGUGCAGAUUGGCAGGCAAAUGAUGUCAGUUGGACGUCCCAUUAUACACCCUCUCCCCUCCACACACACACACACACA